GAUGAAGAACGCAGCGAAUUGCGAUAAGUAAUGUGAAUUGCAGAAUUCAGUGAAUCAUCGAAUCUUUGAACGCAGCUUGCGCUCUCUGGUAUUCCGGAGAGCAUGCCUGUUUCAGUGUCAUGAAAUCUCAACCACUAGGGUUUCCUAAUGGAUUGGAUUUGGGCGUCUGCGAUUUCUGAUCGCUCGCCUUAAAAGAGUUAGCAAGUUUGACAUUAAUGUCUGGUGUAAUAAGUUUCACUGGGUCCAUUGUGUUGAAGCGUGCUUCUAAUCGUCCGCAAGGACAAUUACUUUGACUCUGGCCUGAAAUCAGGUAGGACUACACGCUGAACUUAAGCAUAUCAAUAAGCGGAGGA
rnacentral:misc_RNA from 1 species